UUUUACCUGGUAGAAGGUUAUCAAAGAAGAUCUUUGUCCAAUAGGUUAAGGAGAGUCAAUCCAGCAGCAAUCCCAAAACCACCAUUUAGGGGAAGAAAACGGAAAUGCUAGCUUCUGAUUGGAUGAUUAGAGUAAACAAUGGAUUGAGAACUCAUUGUCCCUCAGAGUUCAAAAUGACAUCCUCAAGCGCCUCUACCACACCGAAGAUACUCCUCAAGAUAUGAUGGAGAUGAAGGCAGAAAUCGUGGCGAUGCUGAAGUCACUGUCGCUGCACCCCUGGCGGCAUUCCUUCAUACCCCGUUGGAUGUGCAGGAGUUGAAGGCUAACAAGGAAGAAUUGCGAAUAGAAAAGUUAAAGGACAAAGAGGAAGUAGAGGACUUAACUCAGGAAAUGGCUGAGCUACGGUAUCGAACUCUCAU